rnacentral:rRNA from 1 species
UACAGAGGUCUCAAGCGUUGUUCGGAUUCAUUGGGCGUAAAGGGCGCGUAGGCGGCGGGGUAAGUCGGGUGUGAAAUCUCAGAGCUCAACUCUGAAACUGCACUCGAUACUGCUCUGCUUGAGGACUGGAGAGGAGACUGGAAUUCACGGUGUAGCGGUGAAAUGCGUAGAUAUCGGAAGGAACAUCAGUGGCGAAAGCGACUUCCUGGACCAGUACCGACGUUCAGGCACGAAAGCGUGGGGAGCAAACAGG